UUUCAAUUGCAUCGGCUGCUCUACUGAUCUGAAAGUCUUGCUUUCCUUUGGUUAGGGAAAACCUAACACUGCCUAAAUAAUUAAGCAAAUGAUAUACCCUUAAAGAAAUGAGAAAAUACUGUUUGUUAGAGACAACUCCUUUAAAAUCACCACCUGAAACCACAGUCGCGUGUGUGUAAGGCUCACAGCAGUCGUCAGUGGCAUGAUGGUCAACACAGCAGUGGUUUUCCUGAAUUCCUCAAAGGAAAACAAGAGUAGGAGUGGAGCAGUUGUGCGAAGUAGUAGCAAUAUAUAUCCAGCAAAACAGAGAUUUCCCUAAACUGUUGUGGAGAAAUGUCUCAACUUUGUUACAUUGUUAGGUUUCUCCAGUACAAAGGAAGCGAUACUCUGAGGUCAAUUGGGUAGCUUGGGUGGUGUAAUCACUCCUGAACUUCCUCUUCUGGGCAUAUCACUUGUUAGAGACAGACUAGCUGUUCCGCAGAGUCAAAAGAGAGUCAUAUCUUUCUUCCUGGAGGGUAUAUGGGUUAGGGGGAGGCGAGAGAGGAAGGAAGGCAGGGGAAACAACUGGCCUCUUCAUUCCUUUUCUUUAUUCGUGUUUUCAAUGGGGCUAUAAAUGUCAGUUCCUUCCUAAUGGAUCUGGAGAUUGAAGCACUCCUGCUACUGAAAAGGUUGAUAUGGCUCGAGCAGCAAUAUCCCAUUUAUGAGAGGCUCUUGAUCUUCUUCAAAGAUCCCAGCAGGUUACUACAAAUGGAUUUUUUUCCUAACUUGAGCAAGUCAGUGUCUUGACAGCGACUGGAGAGAGAGGUGUUUUAAAAAAAAAACAGCCUUCCAAGCUCAUUGUGGCCAUGGAGUCAGCCAUCUGUCACGCAGAGCCCCCAGUAUCACGUAGCAUUCGUAAACCGUAGGUGAUUGCUGGGUUGUCACAGUUGCCAUAACGACUUCUCCGGAGGCUCAGAAGCGUGGAGUCGGGUGUGCUGGAGCAACGGUGAGGCUUCCUGAUUGUGCAAGGUGGGAAGCCUCUUUUCCGCUCAUAUGAGCUUCCUCACGAAAGCCACCCUCCUUUUUAGCACUGCUUUGUAUCGCAGGGGGCUCUACCGAGCUGCAGCGUGAGCAGAAACGAAGGGGAAGGU
rnacentral:lncRNA from 1 species